rnacentral:rRNA from 1 species
UGAGUACGAGCUGCUACGGCAGCGAAGUGGGUGAUGUCAUGCUUCCAAGAAAAGCCCUAUACCCGUUAAGGCAUGAUGGCCUGUACCCGAAACCGACACAGGUGGGGUGGUAGAGAAUACCGAGGGGCGCGAGGUAACUCUCUCUAAGGAACUCGGCAAAAUGGCCCCGUAACUUCGGGAGAAGGGGUGCCACCGCAAGGUGGUCGCAGUGAAGAGGCCCAGGCGACUGUUUACCAAAAACACAGGUCUCCGCUAAGUCGCAAGACGAUGUAUGGGGGCUGACGCCUGCCCAGUGCCGGAAGGUUAAGGAAGCUGGUCAGCGUAAGCGAAGCUAGCGACUGAAGCCCCGGUGAACGGCGGCCGUAACGAUAACGGUCCUAAGGUAGCGAAAUUCCUUGUCGGGUAAGUUCCGACCCGCACGAAAGGCGUAACGAUCUGGGCGCUGUCUCGGAGAGAGGCUCGGCGAAAUAGAAUUGUCUGUGAAGAUGCGGACUACGUGCACCCGGACAGAAAGACCCUAUGAAGCUUUACUGUAGCUUGGUAUUGUGCUCGGGCUCGGAAUGCGCAGGAUAGGUGGGAGGCUAUGAACCAUUGCUUGCGGGUGAUGGUGAGCCACUGGUGAGAUACCACUCUUUCCGAGCUAGAGUUCUAACAGCCACCCGUUAUCCGGGGGCUGGACAGUAUCAGGUGGGCAGUUUGAUUGGGGCGGUCGCCUCCUAAAAGGUAACGGAGGCGCGCAAAGGUUUGCUCAGGCUGGUUGGAAAUCAGCCGACGAGUGUAAAAGCAGAAGCAAGCUUGACUGUGAGACCUACAAGUCGAACAGGGAGGAAACUCGGCUUUAGUGAUCCGACGGUUCUGCGUGGAAGGGCCGUCGCUCAACGGAUAAAAGUUACUCUAGGAUAACAGGCUGAUCUCCCCCAAGAGUUCACAUCGACGGGGAGGUUUGGCACCUCGAUGUCGGCUCAUCGCAACCUGGGGCUGAAGUCGGUCCCAAGGGUUGGGCUGUUCGCCCAUUAAAGCGGUACGCGAGCUGGGUUCAGAACGUCGUGAGACAGUUCGGUCCAUAUCCGGUGCAUGCGCAGGAAUAUUGAGAGGAUUUCUCCCUAGUACGAGAGGACCGGGAGGAACGCACCUCUGGUGUACCAGUUAUCGUGCCAACGGUAAACGCUGGGUAGCCAUGUGCGGAGAGGAUAACCGCUGAAAGCAUCUAAGUGGGAAGCCCACCUCAAGAUGAGUAUUCCCAUGGGGUAACCCAGUAAGGUCACGGGAAGAACACCCGUUGAUAGGCUCUACGUGGAAGCGCAGUAAUGUGUGAAGCGGAGGAGUACUAAUAGACCGAGGGCUUGAC